UUAAGCGACUAAGCGUACACGGUGGAUGCCCUGGCAGUCAGAGGCGAUGAAGGACGUGCUAAUCUGCGAAAAGCGUCGGUAAGGUGAUAUGAACCGUUACAGCCGGCGAUGUCCGAAUGGGGAAACCCAGUGCAAUUCGUUGCACUAUCGUUAACUGAAUACAUAGGUUAACGAGGCGAACCGGGGGAACUGAAACAUCUAAGUACCCCGAGGAAAAGAAAUCAACCGAGAUUCCCCCAGUAGCGGCGAGCGAACGGGGAGCAGCCCAGAGUCUGAAUCAGCUUGUGUGUUAGUGGAACGGUCUGGAAAGUCCGACGGUACAGGGUGAUAGUCCCGUACACCAAAAUGCACAGGCUGUGAACUCGAAGAGUAGGGCGGGACACGUGGUAUCCUGUCUGAAUAUGGGGGGACCAUCCUCCAAGGCUAAAUACUCCUGACUGACCGAUAGUGAACCAGUACCGUGAGGGAAAGGCGAAAAGAACCCCGGCGAGGGGAGUGAAAAAGAACCUGAAACCGUGUACGUACAAGCAGUGGGAGCACCUUCGGGUGUGACUGCGUACCUUUUGUAUAAUGGGUCAGCGACUUAUAUUCUGUAGCAAGGUUAACCGUAUAGGGGAGCCGCAGGGAAACCGAGUCUUAACUGGGCGUUAAGUUGCAGGGUAUAGACCCGAAACCCGGUGAUCUAGCCAUGGGCAGGUUGAAGGUUGGGUAACACUAACUGGAGGACCGAACCGACUAAUGUUGAAAAAUUAGCGGAUGACUUGUGGCUGGGGGUGAAAGGCCAAUCAAACCGGGAGAUAGCUGGUUCUCCCCGAAAGCUAUUUAGGUAGCGCCUCGUGAAUUCAUCUUCGGGGGUAGAGCACUGUUUCGGCUAGGGGGUCAUCCCGACUUACCAACCCGAUGCAAACUACGAAUACCGAAGAAUGUUAUCACGGGAGACACACGGCGGGUGCUAACGUCCGUCGUGAAGAGGGAAACAACCCAGACCGCCAGCUAAGGUCCCAAAGUCAUGGUUAAGUGGGAAACGAUGUGGGAAGGCACAGACAGCCAGGAUGUUGGCUUAGAAGCAGCCAUCAUUUAAAGAAAGCGUAAUAGCUCACUGGUCGAGUCGGCCUGCGCGGAAGAUGUAACGGGGCUAAACCAUGCACCGAAGCUGCGGCAGCGACACUAUGUGUUGUUGGGUAGGGGAGCGUUCUGUAAGCCUGCGAAGGUGACCUGUGAGGGUUGCUGGAGGUAUCAGAAGUGCGAAUGCUGACAUAAGUAACGAUAAAGCGGGUGAAAAGCCCGCUCGCCGGAAGACCAAGGGUUCCUGUCCAACGUUAAUCGGGGCAGGGUGAGUCGACCCCUAAGGCGAGGCCGAAAGGCGUAGUCGAUGGGAAACAGGUUAAUAUUCCUGUACUUGGUGUUACUGCGAAGGGGGGACGGAGAAGGCUAUGUUAGCCGGGCGACGGUUGUCCCGGUUUAAGCAUGUAGGCUGAUUAUCCAGGCAAAUCCGGAUAAUCAAGGCUGAGGUGUGAUGACGAGGCACUACGGUGCUGAAGUAACAAAUGCCCUGCUUCCAGGAAAAGCCUCUAAGCAUCAGGUAACAUCAAAUCGUACCCCAAACCGACACAGGUGGUCAGGUAGAGAAUACCAAGGCGCUUGAGAGAACUCGGGUGAAGGAACUAGGCAAAAUGGUGCCGUAACUUCGGGAGAAGGCACGCUGGUGUGUAGGUGAAGUCCCUGCGGAUGGAGCUGAGACCAGUCGAAGAUACCAGCUGGCUGCAACUGUUUAUUAAAAACACAGCACUGUGCAAACACGAAAGUGGACGUAUACGGUGUGACGCCUGCCCGGUGCCGGAAGGUUAAUUGAUGGGGUUAUCCGUAAGGAGAAGCUCUUGAUCGAAGCCCCGGUAAACGGCGGCCGUAACUAUAACGGUCCUAAGGUAGCGAAAUUCCUUGUCGGGUAAGUUCCGACCUGCACGAAUGGCGUAAUGAUGGCCAGGCUGUCUCCACCCGAGACUCAGUGAAAUUGAACUCGCUGUGAAGAUGCAGUGUACCCGCGGCAAGACGGAAAGACCCCGUGAACCUUUACUAUAGCUUGACACUGAACAUUGAGCCUUGAUGUGUAGGAUAGGUGGGAGGCUUUGAAGCGUGGACGCCAGUCUGCGUGGAGCCAACCUUGAAAUACCACCCUUUAAUGUUUGAUGUUCUAACGUUGGCCCCUGACCGGGGUUGCGGACAGUGUCUGGUGGGUAGUUUGACUGGGGCGGUCUCCUCCCAAAGCGUAACGGAGGAGCACGAAGGUUAGCUAAUCCUGGUCGGACAUCAGGAGGUUAGUGCAAUGGCAUAAGCUAGCUUGACUGCGAGCGUGACGGCGCGAGCAGGUGCGAAAGCAGGUCAUAGUGAUCCGGUGGUUCUGAAUGGAAGGGCCAUCGCUCAACGGAUAAAAGGUACUCCGGGGAUAACAGGCUGAUACCGCCCAAGAGUUCAUAUCGACGGCGGUGUUUGGCACCUCGAUGUCGGCUCAUCACAUCCUGGGGCUGAAGUAGGUCCCAAGGGUAUGGCUGUUCGCCAUUUAAAGUGGUACGCGAGCUGGGUUUAGAACGUCGUGAGACAGUUCGGUCCCUAUCUGCCGUGGGCGCUGGAGAAUUGAGGGGGGCUGCUCCUAGUACGAGAGGACCGGAGUGGACGCAUCACUGGUGUUCGGGUUGUCAUGCCAAUGGCACUGCCCGGUAGCUAAAUGCGGAAGAGAUAAGUGCUGAAAGCAUCUAAGCACGAAACUUGCCCCGAGAUGAGUUCUCCCUGAGACUUUAAGUCUCCUGAAGGAACGUUAAAGACGAUGACGUUGAUAGGCCGGGUGUGUAAGCGCAGCGAUGCGUUGAGCUAACCGGUACUAAUGAACCGUGAGGCUUAACCU
rnacentral:rRNA from 1 species